rnacentral:rRNA from 1 species
AGCGAACGCUGGCGGCAGGCUUAACACAUGCAAGUCGAGCGGGCACUUUCGGGUGUCAGCGGCGGACGGGUGAGUAACGCGUGGGAACGUGCCCUCUGGUUCGGAAUAACUCAGGGAAACUUGAGCUAAUACCGGAUACGCCCUUUUGGGGAAAGGCUUGCUGCCGGAGGAUCGGCCCGCGUCUGAUUAGCUAGUUGGUGAGGUAACGGCUCACCAAGGCGACGAUCAGUAGCUGGUCUGAGAGGAUGAUCAGCCACACUGGGACUGAGACACGGCCCAGACUCCUACGGGAGGCAGCAGUGGGGAAUAUUAGACAAUGGGCGCAAGCCUGAUCCAGCCAUGCCGCGUGAGUGAUGAAGGCCUUAGGGUUGUAAAGCUCUUUUAUCCGGGACGAUAAUGACGGUACCGGAGGAAUAAGCCCCGGCUAACUUCGUG